CACAGUGAACACAGGGUCAGCAAGGCACGAGCUUACACACUCCACACUAGGGGUGGGCGAUAUGGCCCUACUAUAAUAUCAUGAUAUUUCAUGAUAUUUCCGCGAUUACGAUACUCUUGGCGAUAUGACAAUUUUUUCGUUUGGUAAAAACAAAAUAAAUUAAACUUGAUGUGAUAAUUAGGGGUGGGUGAUAUGGAGCAAUAUUUCAGGGUAUAAUAUUAUGAACGAUAUUCAAAGAUGUUGGCGAUAUUAUUGCAUACGAUACGAUACUCACAUACUCACACACACCAAACUUAUCUAACACUAAUUUACAAACCAAAUAUCUAACCAUCUCUGUCUAUUUCUCUUUACUUGUCCUUUUUACUAUUCUUUCUUUAUCUUCCUUUCUCCCUAUUUUUCUCCCUGUCUCUCUUUUUCUUUCUUUCCCUCCAUCUCUUUCUCACUCCCUGUCUUUCUUUCUCUUCAUCACCUCCACCCAACUCUUUAUUGUUCUCCCAUUUUCUUUCUCUUUUCUCCAUCUCUCUUUCUUUCUACCACCACCUGUCUCUCUCUCUCUUUCCUUCUUUUUUCUUUGUAUAUUCUCCCUGUCCUUCUCUCUGUUUCUUUUAAUCACACCCCACACCUCUCUCUCUCUCUCUCUCUCUCUUUCUCUCUCUUUCUCUCUCUUUCUCUCUCUCUCUCUCUCUCUCUCUAACUUUAUUCCCCGCAACCCAACUUUUGGUCUUUCCUACCUGUCUCUCUCACUUUUUUUUUUUUUACCUCCAUCUCACCUCUUCCUCCAUGUCUGCCUCAGUUUCUUUCACUUUCUGUUCCUCUUUCUGCCUGCCCCAUGUCUAUCUCUAUCCAUCUCUCAUCUCUUUCUCUUUCCCUAUCAAAUCCCCCUUUACCACAUUCUCUCUUUUUUUCUCAGUCUUUGUCCCUCUUUCUUUCCCUCUAUCAUCCUGCACCAAACUUUUGGUCUCUCUCUCUCUCUCUGUCUGUUUCACUUUCUUUUUUCUCCUCCAUCUCUCGCUCUGUCAGCCUUCAUGUUUCUCUCUUUCAACCCAUCUCUCUCCCUUUCUAUGCAUCUCUGUCUAAUCUCCCUUUACCACUCUCUCUCUUUCCCUAUCCAUACCUUUCUCUCUCUCUCUCUCUCUCUCUCUCCC
rnacentral:lncRNA from 1 species